rnacentral:rRNA from 1 species
UACGGAGGGUGCAAGCGUUGUCCGGAUUUAUUGGGUUUAAAGGGUGCGCAGGUGGUUUAUUAAGUCAGUGGUGAAAGACGGUCGCUCAACGAUUGCAGUGCCAUUGAAACUAGUAGACUUGAGUAAAGUAGAGGUGGGCGGAAUUGAUAGUGUAGCGGUGAAAUGCAUAGAUAUUAUCAAGAACUCCAAUUGCGUAGGCAGCUCACUUGGCUUUUACUGACACUCAUGCACGAAGUGUGGGUAUCAAACAGGG